UCUGGCUGUUCUCCUCCUGGAACUGUUCAUCUCAACACUACAGCAGCAGAGAUCCAUGGGUGCUGUGGAUUUGCUAUCAUGCCACUGCUACCCCAGCACAGAAGAACACGCUGAGGCUUCCAACAGCAUGCGAAGAAAACAUACCCACGAUGGAAAACGCAACAGAGAAUUUGUCUUUGACACUGUCACUCAUACCUGGCAAGACAAGUGUGUUCAUAAAAGCAGGUGAGGCUACACCAUUGACCCCCUCAGAGAGUCAUGGCUGCUCAGCAGAACAGACCUUGGAAAAGCUGGGCAAGGACAGGUCCAUCAAAUCUGAUACACAAAGGUGACACUCCAGAGUUCAGAGGAGGGGUCAAACAAGGAGAGCUUCCAGGUCCACUGCAGGUUUGUGGCUGGUGAAGAAUACCCCUCUCUCUCUCUCUCUCACCAUUCUCAAAUUCUGAUUUCAUUUUCUGAAUACACCCAAAUUAUGCUAAAUUAAAACAUGAAAGAUGCUGUGACAGGUUUCAUAAUAAACAGGCUCACUGCUUCUCCCCAAACGACGUCUAGUUCUUCUGAGGAAGAGGUGGCCAUGGUCAAGAGUGGGGAGAGCUGCUCUGAAGUUCGAGGCUGCCUUUGCCUACUCUUCUCACAAAGAAAAGAGUGGAGUCAGAAAGGCUGACAAGGGCACUGCAUUGAGAGUGCCAAUGUAGCAUAAGUCACCUAAAGCCAUGCCUGAUCUUAGUUCUAGCAACUUGUCCCAUGAAACCACCUAAACCUGUUAUGGAAAAGGUUGUAAUGAGUCCUACAGGGUGCUGCCUCCCACCUCCCUCAUACAUUGUUUUUGAAAAAACGCAACCAGAUUUUCAUGGCUCUGGAGCAGACUAAGGGCUCUUACACACUCUCUCAACUAAGCAAGAGCGUGUUUAUUGCCUUGACAUCCUCAACAAACAUCUCCCAUCCUUAAAAACAAAAAUUAAAAUGGGCAAAUUCAGUGUAGAGACACCCUGAUGGACACCCUCAGAAGAACAUGGAGUUUUGGGAGGUAGCACACAUGCACAGUGCGAAUUUGCAUGUGAAUGGUCUCAGUCCAUCAACAGACAUGGUAAGGUGCAGCCAUGGGGCUUCUUCCACUCUCAGCUGGGAUUGCUGGACAUGGUAAAUAUGUGCUCAAAGGGAAUGUAAAUAUCUGUGCCAAGCUGGGAGCAAACACACAUGAUGCUGGAGUUUCCUCCAGGCCAUGAAAGAGGAUUCCUGUUUCCCUCCUACACUCCCACAAAUAGUUUGUUUGCUAAAGGCGAACUUAGUAAAUGCCUCUGGGAAACAGAGUCUGUAAAUAUGAACAAUUCCUGUUGGCUCGGAGCUGCCCUCAGUAUGCAAGAAUGUGAAAGCUUUCCAUCCUCAAUGCAAAAGGUCUUUCUUAUUCAGGCCCUCAAUUAUUUCUAAACUUAGAAAUUAAAACCAGCAAUAACCAGUGUUCUGGUGUUCGUCUCACAUCCAGUUUGUCCAAAGUAUGUCUCAACCCUC